rnacentral:rRNA from 1 species
UGGGGAAUAUUGGACAAUGGGCGAAAGCCUGAUCCAGCAAUGCCGCGUGAGUGAUGAAGGCCUUAGGGUUGUAAAGCUCUUUUACCCGGGAUGAUAAUGACAGUACCGGGAGAAUAAGCCCCGGCUAACUCCGUGCCAGCAGCCGCGGUAAUACGGAGGGGGCUAGCGUUGUUCGGAAUUACUGGGCGUAAAGCGCACGUAGGCGGCUUUGCAAGUCAGAGGUGAAAGCCCGGGGCUCAACCCCGGAAUUGCCUUUGAGACUGCAUCGCUAGAAUUGUGGAGAGGUAAGUGGAAUUCCGAGUGUAGAGGUGAAAUUCGUAGAUAUUCGGAAGAACACCAGUGGCGAAGGCGACUUACUGGACACAUAUUGACGCUGAGGUGCGAAAGCGUGGGGAGCAAACA